UACGUAGGGUGCAAGCGUUAAUCGGAAUUACUGGGCGUAAAGCGUGCGCAGGCGGUUUUGUAAGCCUGUCGUGAAAUCCCCGGGCUCAACCUGGGAAUUGCGAUGGAGACUGCAAGGCUAGAAUCUGGCAGAGGGGGGUAGAAUUCCACGUGUAGCAGUGAAAUGCGUAGAGAUGUGGAGGAACACCGAUGGCGAAGGCAGCCCCCUGGGUCAAGAUUGACGCUCAUGCACGAAAGCGUGGGGAGCAAACAGG
rnacentral:rRNA from 1 species